AGCAGCCGCGGUAAUUCCAGCUCCAAUAGCGUAUAUUAAAGUUGUUGCAGUUAAAAAGCUCGUAGUUGAAUUUCGGGGUUAGUAGGUCGGUCGUGCCACAGGUAUGUACUGGUCUCACUGAUUCCUCCUUCCUGAUGAACCGUAAUGCCAUUAAUUUGGUGUUGCGGGGAAACUGGACUGUUACUUUGAAAAAUUAGAGUGUUUAAAGCAGGCUAACGCUUGAAUACAUUAGCAUGGAAUAAUGAAAUAGGACGUUCGAUCCUAUUUUGUUGGUUUCUAGGAUUGACGUAAUGAUUAAUAGGGAUAGUUGGGGGCAUUAGUAUUCAAUUGUCAGAGGUGAAAUUCUUGGAUUUAUUGAAGACUAACUACUGCGAAAGCAUUUGCCAAGGAUGUUUUCAUUAAUCAAGAACGAAAGUUAGGGGAUCGAAGACGAUCAGAUACCGUCGUAGUCUUAACCAUAAACUAUGCCGACUAGGGAUCGGAUGAUGUUAAUUUUUAAUGACUCAUUCGGCGC
rnacentral:rRNA from 1 species